rnacentral:lncRNA from 1 species
ACAGCUGCUAGGUGAGAACAAAAAAAUCAACAUUUUUUCUGAUUAAAAAAAAAAAAAAACUUGCAUAAGAAACAGGGAGCUUUUUUCAUGACCUUGAGGAGCAUGGAUGCUUCUAGCCACCUGUGCUAUCACACAUUAGUUCUUGAGUUUCUGCUCCUUGUUUUCAUCCCAUGCAGUUCUGAGUGAGUAGUUCCUCCCAUCUCAUUGUGAGGGAGCUAGGAAGCUUCCCAUACCCGGGGAAGCUAUGUAUCUUCAGAAAGUUUUACAAUUUUUUUUCUCUUCCCUGUCACUGUAUUUCACAAAACAACUACAUGUUAUUUCUGAGAAUAUGGAAAUUGAGUUCAUGGUUUUAGAUAUGUGAGAUGCUACACUGUGGGAGGUUUUUCUUCUGGUGGCAGAAUCUAGGAAGGAGGUGAGAAGCACCUCGUCCUUACCAGGGACUGAACAUUGCACAGCUUUUAAAAUCAACAGGCAAGAACAAGGAGAAAGAAGGCAGGGAGUGGGGAGUUGGGCAAGGGGUAAGAAGUUAAAAAAAAUGCUUCUCUUCUUCCCUGUUUGUUUCUCCUUUUCUUGAUCUUUUGCUCACACAACCCUUAUUCUGUUAGCUUCCCAUAUGCACUUGUCUGGUCUCAACUGUCCUUGACAAAUCACCCCAUCAAAAGAAGCAGAGUUGAGUAAAAGGCAAGACCUAGCAUCCAGGUAGGAGAAAAGGAACAGGGGCAGAUCAAGUGCUGUAUCUUGCUUUGCAGUUUUAGCUGGGAUAAAAUUCUUGCCCUGAAAUUGAAAUGAGUUAGUAAGUGGGGAAAGAGCUCAGUCUGAAUAAGUAGCAGAAAAUAGGGAACCAGAUCAGAGAUUCUCAAUGAUAAGAAAAAGAAUUCAUCUUUCUGAGGAUAGAAAUAGGUAGACGUGACAGCAAGUACAAACCUGAAGAACAAGCGACACAAGGAUCUGAAUUAGAAAUGAACCAGAAUUUUAAAAUUAUGCAUCUGACAGUUCUUGAGAUGCAACCAGGAAUAAUGCUGAAUAGUUACUGCGUUUUCUCCAUGCCAGUUUCUGUACUGAACACUCUACUUAUUUGUUAUGUGUUUUUCCUGACAUCAACCUGGUGAAUUCUGACCAGGGAGGUCAAAACAGAAAUUCAUUUAACAAAUGAGAAAGUUUAGGAUCAGAGGAGGUCAGCUGCCCAAAUGCUAUAGCCAGGAUAUGGGCUUGCCAGGUUCCAAAAUCCACGAUAUCUAUUUUUCUCUCAAAACACAAUGUUGUCAGCUUGAAAACUACAGAAGAAAAGCCAAAAAGUAAACCUUAACUAGAUUCUACCAUGUAAAAUGAACAUAGAGCUGCUCUGUCCACUGAAAAUAUAUAAUGUAAGCCAUAUAUUUGAUUUAAAAAUUUCAAGUAGUCACAUUCAAAAAGUAGAGGUAGCUGAAAUCAAUUUUAAUAAUGUCCCCUAAUUAAAUGCACACUUAAUUGAAUUUUACAUGUAAUUUCAACAUGUAAUCAAUAUAAAAAUUAUUUAUGAGAUGUUUUUACAUUCAUUUUUCAUACUAUGCCUACAAAACUCAGUGUGACUUUUAUUUUCAUCAUACAUCUUAAUGGGGUCCAGACGCAUAUGGCUAGUGACUCCUGUACGGACAAUAAAAAUGAAAAUAAUCCUUCCUAGCCCCUCCCCAAGGUGUCAAGCCUCCCCAUUUCAUCUUUUCCCAUUCCCCUAAAUGCAGUUUUCCUGGCCAUAUAUAUAAGUUUUGUCUAACCACAGAAGCUCCAAGGAAUCUCCUAUGUAGCCUUGAUUUGCAAUAAUGUAUAUAUUCUUGGUUUAUCAAGUCUUCUCAUAUAAAGCUGUCCAUAGAAGAGAGCUCCAAAUUAUUUACAGUCUAAUUCUGAAAAUACAAAGAUGUAAUUUUCAUUUCUCACGCUAAACUGUGCCUAACCGUUCUGAAAUCGUGCCAGCUACCUGGCAGAACUGUUAGAAUAUACUUUCCCCACCUCAACUGAAGGUGGGAAAAAAUGACUAGUGCCUUUCUUUCUGUGUUUUGAAAGAUAAUUUUGUUCUAGAGAAAAUGGAGCAUUGGGCACUCAGGUACAGUCAAUGACAAAUGUGAGACAUGUACCCAAGGAUGAUGUAAUAGAGGUUAGCCUCUCCAGAAAAGGAAGCCAAACUAGUCCCCUUGUAAAAUUUGUCAUUUUAAUAAUGACAGGUAAUUGCUCGCUUUUGCAUUUGAAGAAAAAAAAAUGUUCAUUAUUUGAGAUGAAACACUGUUGAGAAUAAAUACCAUGCCCAAAGGUAACUUUCUAUUCUGGCUAUUUGCAAUUGAUUCAACUCUAGUUCCAGUUACUCUGUAGCUAAGACAAAGCUUUAAAAUCUUAUUCAUGCCUUAAUAGAGAGUAUUAAAGAUUUGACUAAAUUUAUGUUUGACUGCAAUCAUUUGGAUAUGUAUAUUACACUUGGAAAAAAUCUAUAAUGCUUUGGUCUGUGUAGUAUAAUAUGCAACCCACUGUUAAAUAACAUUUAGUGUGAAUUUGAAUGAAGAUCUGUGAUCUGAACUCACUCAUGUAAAGCAGGUAAACUGUUUUAACUAAAUUAUUGAUAGAUCUGCAUUACAUUCCAGACAACCUUGCAUACUGAGUUAUGAAAUACCUUCAUAUUUUAUCUGUUUUCUUCCACAAACAGUACUUUUAUUUUUACUCUUUGAUCACUACACUAAAAUGACAAGAGCCAUUUGAUGAUGACACAGAUUCAUCCUCAGCAGAGUGAUGUUGUUUAAAAAACAGAGGGAAGCAGACAUCCAACAACAUCCUGCACAGUAGCCUGACAUUUCAACAGCAUUUGAGUCAGCCUGCUUGGUUUAAUUUUCAGAAGUGCCUGAGGUUCUGCAGCCUGGGACAUAGCAUCCCUGAUAUAUCUGACGCUGUGCUUUGUUUUCUCCCCUCUAAACUUUAAAGAGAAGGUAACUAUUUAUGUGUUCCCCAGAUUUUUUCUUAAAGACUCAGAGAAUGGAAGAGUAGGAAGAGAACUUACAGAGGAGGAAAUCUGAGGCCAAGGAAUUUAUCCAAGACCUCCAUGGGUCAAGGAAGCAGAAUUCCUUUACCCGGCAGUGCUGAUCCCAACACUGGACACUAGCCCAGGUUUCCAAGUGAGGUUAUUAUUUUUUUUUUACUAUAGUUCCUCCCAUUCCCCAUUUUAGGCUCAAGUGCUGACCAGUCACAGCAUGGGAUGCAGAGAGGCAGGUCUACGCAACACCUCCUCUCAAUAUCUUAAUUCAGCUUUAGAACUAGGUCCUCACAAAAUAGGCAUUUGGAAAAGUUCUGAAGUGCAUGUGCCCCUCUCAAAGGAUAAAGCCCCAGUCCAAAGUAGUUGGAGAGUGUUUAAAAAGCAAAAAGUGACUUUAGGUCAUGACCUGGUACCCAGGCUACAAGGAUUCCACCUAUCUGUCCAUCUAUCCAUUCAUAUCCAUUGAUUGACCUAUCAUUCGUCCACUCAUCAGUCCAUUUUUACCUAUCAUCUAUCUUCUACCUAUCCUUUCAUCCAUGUGUCUAUUUUACAGAAGUAUCUUCUAAAAAUAGGUUAUUUAGUUAGUUCUAAGCAGAAAAGAUCUGAAAACUUGAUCUCUCCUUCAAUAAAGGUAGCUUGUAUGAUUUAAAUAAAUCCCAAAGAUUUGCUCUUCUACCUGGUAUUGGAGUCACAGUUCACUAAAAUAUAAGAGCUUUGAGGGGACAAUGUGGACAAAGAGGAUGAUUUGAGAUUUCUGUGAUGAUUACGGCUGCUCUUUCCUUUUCCUGCCUAUUUCUACCCAUAUGUUCUAGUUCUCUCUAUCUCUGGUUAUAAUUAGUAGGAAUUAAACCCUCCCUUUGGACUUUAUUGAUUCAGAAAAUAUCUUUUAAUUGGCUGUGGUCUAUUACAGACCUUGUCCUAGGUAAAGAUGGUAUGAAGCUGAGGAGAGCAGGGAAGCUGCAGCAGGUUUGCUAAGGACCAUGAGAACAGUCUUAGCCAAGCAAUUUGCUGACCUUCCCCCAGAAGGACAGUAAGAACUGGAAAGGGCAAAGACGCAGCAUAGCAUGGGACAGAGGGAUGUGAUGGCACCCUAUCUCUUGAGAGCUGCCCUGCUCAAGGUGGCUGCGGCAAAAUCAUGGGCAGAGACGAUGGGAAACUAGCAUGGUUAGAGAACAUUCCAUCAGGGUUUGUGGACAAUAAAUUAACUGGCAUACAGUAGGGUGAGGAACAUCUGCUGUCAACUGACAUUUAAAUAGCAAUUGCCAGUGGAAAGUAAGCAUAUGGUUAGUUGAAUGAAGAGUCAGGAAAAGAGAAAUACAUUCAAUAAAAGGUUUUAAUGCUUUCUCAAUUUAUACAUUAGUGUUUGCCAAUCUGCUUCUGCAAACCAGUUGAGACCUUGAUCUCACUCACUGACCUUGUCUGACCCAAGAAACCCAAUAGAGCACCAACCUAGACUUAGAAUCUAAUCUCUUAAGACCGUGGUUCUUUUUCAAAGAGGGGUCCCUGCAACAGCAGAAUCAGCACCACUUGGGAACAUACUAGAAAUGCAAACUUUCAGGCCCCAACCCAGAGGUACACAAUUAGAGACUCUGGGAGUGGAGUUCUGUGAUCAGGAGUGAACAAGUUCUCCAGAUGAUUCUGGUGCUUUCUCCAGCUGGAGAAAACAGUCUAAGAGAAGCAUAAAUUGAGGUGAAGCCCGUGUCAAUGAACAUGGGCCCAAUCACUAUCUCCUGCUUGCCUUUGGAGAAUCAUAUUUUAAUAUAUAUCUGUGGUCUGAACUGACAAUAAUUAAGAACUGCCUCCCUCUGGUUCCUCUUCCUGAUGACCACCCUGCUAGGUCCUCUCCUUUCUGAGAAGCCAGCUCUCCUUUUUGGUCCUGUUUCAAUUCUUCUUUCUCCCUCUAUACCCUUUCCUUCUAUCUUCUCAUUCCCCACCCCCCAUUCCUUUCCUCUUUCACCUCCAUGGGUCUCUCUUUUUACAUGUUUCUCCAGUAUGUUAAGCAAUGGCAACUCCCUUUCUUUCUUAUCUGCUUUCCCUCCCUUUCCACUCCUCCAUCUUUUCCAAGAACCACAAAGCAAGCCGCAUGCAACCUUGUCAGCUCAUACCUCUCCUUUUCCAGUAUUUUCUCAGUUGGGCUCGAGAAGAUGACUGAAUCAGCUGCAGAAUAGCCAGCAGCUGGAUGCCAGAGAGUGCUUCACACUCAUUGCUAAUUUUGCCAAAGUAGAGAGGCUAUAGAUUCAGCUCAAAUGGGAUGUAGCUAGACAUGAACUGAGGUGCGCUCACCACUGAGAGCCCACUCUAGGUCCCAUAUCUUCUGACUCUGCUAAGAUUUUCUUGGACAACUUGCAGUGACCCCUCAGCUUAGUGACCCUUGUCUAAACAAAUCUGCCUCCUUGUCCUCUUUCUUAUUGAGAAAUUUUCUUUAGGAGAAGCUACAAGAGCUGUUGGGGUUUGGUUUCCAAAGAAGGGCACAGGCCACAGCUUUAAAAUGAUGUAAAUGCCACAGAUGGCUGCUUCUGUCUACAAAGACAGAUGGUUUGAUGUCCCAUCCUUGCCCCAGCAAUUUGAUGGAGCCCAGAAACAAACUCUCUCCUCAGUGUGACUCCAUCCACCAUGUGGAGGCCAGAGACCUCUGAAAUGUGGCACAGAAGCAGAUUUCAAAUGGCCCACAAUUUGCUAAGCAUUACAUCCAUCUCAUUUUGCUCUACAAGCUUCAGUACAAGAAGAAAACUAUAAAUCGCUACAGUAACAAAUAUAUAUUUCUAAAAUAAGCCCUCCUGUCUAGGAGCUGUAUGACAGCCACUUGCACUCAAAGUAAAUAGCAUUUAGGGUCGUCAUUGUGGUUUAGUGCCUAUGUUCCUUUAUGAUGCAUGGAAAAUGAACAACUGGAAUCCAUUAAAUAAAUAUUUUUCUAUGUGGAUCUCAACUGUCUGUGGCUGGUGUGACUUUCUAUGCAAACACCUUGCUCUAAAUGCUCUGAUAGUAAAACCCUCAAGUGUGGUAUAGCUACAUAGGC